rnacentral:lncRNA from 1 species
UUUUCUUUUUUCUUUUUUUUUCUUUUUUUUUGAAAGAUAAGUAAGGCGCUACCCACUUCGUUUAUUUUAUUUAGGAAUAAUCUUAGCUAAAAAUAUGAAUCAACUAGAAUUCGAAUUUGGGUCUCAGGUACCAACCACCAAACCCUUUGCCACUUGCUUUAGGGACGGUCGGUCUUCCUGUUGCUUUUCAAGAGAAAGUUUUUUUGAAUUAUUAUUGAAAAAACUUCAAAAACCGCUCAUAUGGUUUCACAGUUUCUCACUUUAGUACUAUGUGGGUUAAAGUGUAUCAAUUUAGUAUCAUAUAGUUUUAUUUUUUUCUUUUUAUUAUCGAUUCUACUAAUACUUUUCGUUAAAUCAAUGAGAAAGUUAAAAUUGAAGUGUACUAAAGUGAAUAUUUGAUAAACCUAGGUGUAGUAUUUAAAAUUUUUUAUAUAUAAUUUAACGAAAUAUUAACAGAAAAACUGACGAAAAGUAAAAAUAAAACUACAGGACAUUAACUUGAUACACUUUAAACCAAGUAUUAAAGUGAGAAAGUAUGAAACCAAAAAAAUGAUAUAUGAAGUUUACCCAUUAUUAUUAUUUUUAUUAUUACUAUUAUUAUUUCCAAAAAUCAAAACAGA